UACAGAGGUCUCAAGCGUUGUUCGGAUUCAUUGGGCGUAAAGGGUGCGUAGGUGGCGCGGUAAGUCGGGUGUGAAAUUUCGGAGCUUAACUCCGAAACUGCAUUCGAUACUGCCGUGCUUGAGGACUGGAGAGGAGACUGGAAUUUACGGUGUAGCAGUGAAAUGCGUAGAUAUCGUAAGGAAGACCAGUGGCGAAGGCGGGUCUCUGGACAGUUCCUGACACUAAGGCACGAAGGCCAGGGGAGCAAACGGG
rnacentral:rRNA from 1 species